GACGAACGCUGGCGGCGUGCUUAACACAUGCAAGUCGAACGAAGUGGCGAACGGGUGAGUAACGCGUAAUCAACCUGCCCUUCAGAGGGGGACAACAGUUGGAAACGACUGCUAAUCCCGCAUACUGAAGGAGUGGAUUGCGUCUGAUUAGCUGGUUGGAGGGGUAACGGCCCACCAAGGCGAUGGUCAGUAGCCGGGCUGAGAGGAUGAACGGCCAAAUUGGGACUGAGACACGGCCCAGAAUCCGUCGGGAGGAAGCAGGUGGGAAUCGUCCGAAAUGGACGAAAGUCCGACGAAGCAACGCCGCGGGAGGGAUGACGGCCUUCGGGUUGUAAAGCUCUGUUAAUCGGGACGCGGUACCGGAAUAGAAAGCCACGGCUAACUACGUGCCAGCCGCCGCGGUAAUAC
rnacentral:rRNA from 1 species